AUGCACGCUGGCGGCGUGCCUAAUACAUGCAAGUCGAGCGAACAGACGAGGAGCUUGCUCCUUUGACGUUAGCGGCGGACGGGUGAGUAACACGUGGAUAACCUACCUAUAAGACUGGGAUAACUUCGGGAAACCGGAGCUAAUACCGGAUAACAUGUUGAACCGCAUGGUUCAACAGUGAAAGACGGUCUUGCUGUCACUUAUAGAUGGAUCCGCGCCGCAUUAGCUAGUUGGUAAGGUAACGGCUUACCAAGGCAACGAUGCGUAGCCGACCUGAGAGGGUGAUCGGCCACACUGGAACUGAGACACGGUCCAGACUCCUACGGGAGGCAGCAGUAGGGAAUCUUCCGCAAUGGGCGAAAGCCUGACGGAGCAACGCCGCGUGAGUGAAGAAGGUCUUCGGAUCGUAAAACUCUGUCAUUAGGGAAGAACAAAUGUGUAAGUAACUAUGCACGUCUUGACGGUACCUAAUCAGAAAGCCACGGCUAACUACGUG
rnacentral:rRNA from 1 species